UUUUGAAAUUCCAGAAAACCGCGUGACAUGAAUUAACGUGACGACGGAAAUGGUGGACAAGGUGUGUUUUAGCACAACAGAAAAACACCAUAUUUUGUUUAUUAUUAUAGGCCCAGGUAUAUUCGUGAUGUACGUAUCAGCAAAACUACUAAAAAGGGAUGGUACUCGUCUCGACGUUAUUGUGGCCAUUUUCACUUAAUAUAAUGGACGCACCACUUGUCAAUGCCAAACAUACCAAAAGAACCACGUAAACGAAGGGCGGAUAUGGAAGUCGAUAGAAUGUAUUUUAGAGAAAACUCCAUACAUAAUUUGCUGUAUUAUAGGUUAUUUCCGUGAUGUAUGAAUAAAAAAAAUCUACUAAGAUAUGUUAACACAGGACUACCAUAUAGAAAGAGAAGAGGCAAUUAGCUAAGUGCAUAAGGGGUAUGACCUUUGCAGAUCUCCAAUCAAAAUGAAUACAGCCGGUGGUAAUAGAUAUAUUUAUAAUAUGGGUCAGUGGUAGGGCAAUAGCUAUCGCUCCAUCUUCGAUAAAUUUUGCAGAGAUAUCAACAUUAAAGUCUCCAAGAGUAAUAACUUCUUGAUCGUGUAAACUACUCCCAUAGAUGGUCUCGAUUGAGUUGAAGAACAAUCGUGGCUGAUCUGGUCUGAAACAAUUAAUAUAGGCUUUGUUUUGGGUAGUAAUAUAUCAUCACUAUGAAGAUCACCUCUCCUGAUGUAGCAAAGAAGAGGUCGCCGUUAAGUUAGGCUUCAGGUGUUGUUUAACGGAGUGACGUUACGACAGUACUGGCGGGUGAUUUAAAACUUGCUUAACACUCAAACCGCUAUGUCAUUGGGCUUACUAGGGUCGAGACUAAAAAUCCACCAUAAAUGGCUUCGUCGGUGAAAAUAAAAUUGAAGAACAAGAGGACGAGAAAUCUCUACUGCAACGUAUAUGUAUAUAUGUAUGAGAGAAUAAAUUUCACUAUGCAGUGCAGCAGAGCAUGACAAAAGUUGCAAGACAAGAAAAGUACACUAAAAUUUAGUUGGAACAUUAAGAGUUCGCAAGAGUCAUCCCGGCGAAAGAAUACAAACAACUAUUUUAUCUUAAAAAACAAGUUAAUAGAUGAAGACAACUUGUAUCAUUCUGAAUUAUCGAUCAUAUUGUAUAGAAGAUACGUUCAAGUUAGAUGAGAAACCAGAACUUCUAUAGACCUAAUUCAUUUUUCUAUUAUAGUUGUGUAAAGCAUUAACUUUUGGUUAAUUUGAUUAUGUCUAAUAGUUUGUAAGACAAGUAAGAAGAUAUACUGGCCUUUAGUUCCACAUCUUGCUGAAUAUUGAGACGGCGAUAUACAUACAGCGAUUGUAUUUUUAUAUAUUAUGUACAUUUAUAUAAAUUCAUAUUUAUAUUA
rnacentral:lncRNA from 1 species